rnacentral:rRNA from 1 species
UACGGAGGGUGCAAGCGUUAAUCGGAAUUACUGGGCGUAAAGCGUGCGUAGGCGGCUCUUUAAGUCGGAUGUGAAAUCCCCGGGCUCAACCUGGGAACUGCAUCCGAUACUGGGGAGCUAGAAUGUGGGAGAGGGAAGUGGAAUUUCCGGUGUAGCGGUGAAAUGCAUAGAGAUCGGAAGGAACAUCAGUGGCGAAGGCGACUUCCUGGACCAACAUUGACGCUGAGGCACGAAAGCGUGGGUAGCAAACAGG